rnacentral:rRNA from 1 species
GACGAACCGUGCGAACGUUGUUCGGAAUCAUUGGGCUUAAAGGGCGCGUAGGCGGGUCGGCAAGUCAGGGGUGAAAUCCCACGGCUCAACCGUGGAAGUGCCUCUGAUACUGCCGGCCUCGAGGGGGGUAGGGGCAUGUGGAACUUCCGGUGGAGCGGUGAAAUGCGUAGAUAUCGGAAAGAACACCAACGGCGAAAGCACUCUGCUGGGCCGACACUGACACUGAGAGACGAAAGCUAGGGGAGCGAAUGGG